CGAAAGCCUGACGGAGCCAGACCGCGUGAGGGAAGAAGGCCUUUGGGUUGUAAACCUCUUUUCUCAAGGAAGAAGAAAGUGACGGUACUUGAGGAAUCAGCCUCGGCUAACUCCGUGCCAGCAGCCGCGGUAAGACGGAGGAGGCAAGCGUUAUCCGGAAUUAUUGGGCGUAAAGCGUCCGUAGGUGGUCACUCAAGUCUGCUGUCAAAGACAGUGGCUCAACUACUGAAAGGCAGUGGAAACUGAGAGACUAGAGAGCGGCAGGGGCAGAGGGAAUUCCCGGUGUAGCGGUGAAAUGCGUAGAGAUCGGGAAGAACACCGGUGGCGAAAGCGCUCUGCUGGACUGCAACUGACAUUGAGGGACGAAAGCUAGGGGAGCG
rnacentral:rRNA from 1 species